GCGUGCUUAACACAUGCAAGUCGAACGGUGAAGCCCAGCUUGCUGGGUGGAUCAGUGGCGAACGGGUGAGUAACACGUGAGCAACCUGCCCCCUACUUCGGGAUAAGCCUUGGAAACGAGGUCUAAUACCGGAUAUGAGCACUUACCGCAUGGUGGGUGUUGGAAAGUUUUUCGGUGGGGGAUGGGCUCGCGGCCUAUCAGCUUGUUGGUGGGGUAAUGGCCUACCAAGGCGUCGACGGGUAGCCGGCCUGAGAGGGCGACCGGCCACACUGGGACUGAGACACGGCCCAGACUCCUACGGGAGGCAGCAGUGGGGAAUAUUGCACAAUGGGCGAAAGCCUGAUGCAGCGACGCCACGUGAGGGAUGACGGCCUUCGGGUUGUAAACCUCUUUCAGCAGGGAAGAAGCGAAAGUGACGGUACCUGCAGAAGAAGCGCCGGCUAACUACGUGCCAGCAGCCGCGGUAAUACGUAGGGCGCAAGCGUUGUCCGGAAUUAUUGGGCGUAAAGAGCUCGUAGGCGGUCUGUCGCGUCUGGUGUGAAAUCCCAUGGCUCAACUGUGGGCUUGCAUCGGGUACGGGCAGACUAGAGUGCUGUAGGGGAGACUGGAAUUCCUGGUGUAGCGGUGGAAUGCGCAGAUAUCAGGAGGAACACCGA
rnacentral:rRNA from 1 species